GAUGAACGCUGGCGGCGUGCCUAAUACAUGCAAGUCGAGCGAACAGACGAGGAGCUUGCUCCUCUGACGUUAGCGGCGGACGGGUGAGUAACACGUGGAUAACCUACCUAUAAGACUGGGAUAACUUCGGGAAACCGGAGCUAAUACCGGAUAAUAUAUUGAACCGCAUGGUUCAUUAGUGAAAGACGGUUUUGCUGUCACUUAUAGAUGGAUCCGCGCCGCAUUAGCUAGUUGGUAAGGUAACGGCUUACCAAGGCAACGAUGCGUAGCCGACCUGAGAGGGUGAUCGGCCACACUGGAACUGAGACACGGUCCAGACUCCUACGGGAGGCAGCAGUAGGGAAUCUUCCGCAAUGGGCGAAAGCCUGACGGAGCAACGCCGCGUGAGUGAUGAAGGUCUUCGGAUCGUAAAACUCUGUUAUUAGGGAAGAACAAAUGUGUAAGUAACUAUGCACGUCUUGACGGUACCUAAUCAGAAAGCAACGGCUAACUACGUG
rnacentral:rRNA from 1 species